rnacentral:misc_RNA from 1 species
GAAACGCGAUAGUUAAUGUGAAUUGCAGAAUUCAGUGAAUCAUCGAGUCUUUGAACGCACAUUGCGCCCAUUGGUAUUCCUUUGGGCAUGUCUGUUUGAGCGUCAUUUCAACCAUCAAGCCCCCGGGCUUGUGUUGGGGACCUGUGGCUGCCCGCAGGCCCUGAAAACCAGUGGCGGGCUCGCUGUCACACCGAGCGUAGUAGCAAUCACCUCGCUCAGGGCGUGCUGCGGGUUCCGGCCGUUAAACAGCCUUACAAAACCCAAGGUUGACCUCGGAUCAGGUAGGAAGACCCGCUGAACUUAAGC